rnacentral:rRNA from 1 species
CUACGGGAUGCAGCAGUUAAGGAUUUUUUGCAAUGCACGAAAGUGUGACAAAGCGAGUCAGAGUGUCUCUCUAUGAGAGACUUUUGUUAGCUCUAAAAAGGCUAACGAAUAAGGACUCGGCAAGACUGGUGCCAGCCGCCGCGGUAAUACCAGCAGUCCAAGUUGCAGCCAACAUUAUUGGGUCUAAAACAUCCGUAGCUUGUUAUGUAAGUCUCUUGUGAAAUCCUAUUCCUUAAGGAUAGGGCGUGCAAGAGAUACUUCAUAACUAGAGACCGGAGGAUGUGGGGAGUACAGUUAAGGUAGUGGUAAAAUAUGUUAAUCUUAACUGGACUAACAACAGCGAAGGCACCCCACAACGACGGAUCUGACAGUGAGGGAUGAAGGCUAGGGGCGCAAAACGGAUUAGAUACCCCAGUAGUC